rnacentral:rRNA from 1 species
UACGGGGGGGGCAAGCGUUGUUCGGAAUUACUGGGCGUAAAGGCUCGUAGGCGGCCAACUAAGUCGGAUGUGAAAUCCCCAGGCUUAACCUGGGAACUGCAUCCGAUACUGGAUGGCUUGAAUCCGGGAGAGGGAUGCAGAAUUCCAGGUGUAGCGGUGAAAUGCGUAGAUAUCUGGAGGAAUACCGGUGGCGAAGGCGGCAUCCUGGACCGGCAUUGACGCUGAUGAGCGAAAGCUAGGGGAGCAAACGGGG